AUGGAGGUCCGGCCCGACCAAUGGAUGGAUGGGGAUGAAACCCUAGCCCAACACCCACCCAUGGAUGGAUGGGGAUGGGGCGGCGGCUGCGGCCUUCUCUCGGUGCUUGCUGGUGUGGUGGACAUCGACGUCGGCGUCGGCGUCGUCUACGGCUCUGUCAGGCUCGACAUCCUCAAGGUUAAUGGAUCAUCCUGGGAAUGGACUAUGGAAUGGCAAACUAACAGGGCACAUCGCACAACUGGGUAUUGUCAAUCUACUUACAGACCACUUGCGUUGGGCAAGAGGGUUCUGCUGUGGAGACCAAGAAAAAGGAUGGGAACAUUGGGGACGCCUCAGCUGCCAUCGAUGAACGCAACUCGGAACAGGCAAAGCUCCACGCGAGGCUCCCCUGGCUGCCGAGCAUCUCUGAGAAGCCCAAAAUGA
rnacentral:rRNA from 1 species